rnacentral:rRNA from 1 species
ACUCCUACGGGAGGCAGCAGUGGGGAAUAUUGCACAAUGGGCGCAAGCCUGAUGCAGCGACGCCGCGUGAGGGAUGACGGCCUUCGGGUUGUAAACCUCUUUCAGUAUCGACGAAGCGCAAGUGACGGUAGAUACAGAAGAAGCACCGGCCAACUACGUGCCAGCAGCCGCGGUAAUACGUAGGGUGCGAGCGUUGUCCGGAAUUACUGGGCGUAAAGAGCUCGUAGGUGGUUUGUCGCGUUGUUCGUGAAAACUCACAACUCAAUUGUGGGCGUGCGGGCGAUACGGGUAGACUGGAGUACUGCAGGGGAGACUGGAAUUCCUGGUGUAGCGGUGGAAUGCGCAGAUAUCAGGAGGAACACCGGUGGCGAAGGCGGGUCUCUGGGCAGUAACUGACGCUGAGGAGCGAAAGCGUGGGGAGCGAACAGGAUUAGAUACCCUGGUAG